AAAAAAGGGGAGCUUGUAAACAGGCUGAGAGGGGGUUAUGAACCCCGACCCAUAGACCUGAUGCGGAUAAUGCCGCCGUAGGGAUCAUAUUUGA
rnacentral:ncRNA from 1 species